ACUUGCAUGUCAAUUUCCCCCCUAAUUUGGUAGUGGCCGGCCAUGAGCAUGAGAGGGGACAAAAUGUUAUGGGGUGAAACAUGUUGGAAACAUGUUGUGUUAGUGUGUUAGGGGAGAAAGAAUAAAAUAAAGGGGUUAGUAAUAAAGAAAUGAAAAGGGAGGGGUGAUGAGAAAAAAAAAAAAGGUUGUCUCAUCCAUGUUCCCCCCCCCAUUGCCGUGACUUGAGAAGCAAAAGAAAAGAAGAAAUCGGUUCUUCUUAGCUGAAAUGAAAAGAAGAAGAAAGGAAUGAAGCUAGAAAGGAGAGGGCAGCUGCAUGUAGUGGAAAACCAUGGAAUUUGUUUGCUUAGAAGUUAAAAUUUUCAAGUAGAAGGGUAACUCUUCUAAACUCUCCCUUGCCCAUAGCUUUUCGUUGACAAAUUCUGGUUGCAUUGUUGAUUUGAGCUUGACGAAUAUGUGGGAGAAGAGAAGAUUCUCUUUUCUAGUUGCAAAUGUUGCAUGUCUAGUAGAUGAAGAGUUUCUCACUUGUGUUAAAAGAAUCUAGUGAAUGCUUGUGUUGUUAUAAUCUAUUUUUGUAACUUUGGGGUUGAUUGUAUUUAGCUAACAAGGUAGGAGAAGGUGGUAGUAGACAAGGGAAAGAGCAAAUUGAAUAGGUGGAAUCGGAGUUGGGAGCCUUGAUUUUGCUAGUUAGCUAUCGGAUUCGGGAUCAUUGAAGUCGAAGUCAUCCACACUAUCAAAGCCCCCAUUUUGGUACAAUUUUGGUUGAAAUUUGAAAUGGCAUGUAUAGGACUACCCUUUUGUUGUAGGUUAUGUACCUUUCGGUUUUGUGUAAAUUCGGAUAGCCAUGCGAAAAUGGCUUAUAUACGUUUCUAGCAUAGUACUAUAAUCGUUUGUAUGUUGAUCAUUAUGAGGUAUGGAAUUGUUUUGAAACGAUUAGCCAUUGGAAUGGUUAAUCAUGAUCA